UUUAUUUCAAAUAUCGUAUCAUACGAAUAUUCCUAUUUACACAACGACUUCUCAAGACGACUAACAGGAUUCUACCAAAAUAUUUAUAUAUUUUUAUAUAAAUAUAUAUAUUUUAAAUCCCUCGAGGACUAAGUCUUUCCAAGACUUAUUAGUUUUACCGACAAUAAGCGAGACUUAACGAGUAUAACUUAAUCAUAUUUGUUAAGUUAACAAUUCACCGUCAAAUCGUUCAGUUGAUGAUUCGGUAGAGCUCGGUGACACGUAGAUUAGUUACCGCGUUUAUUUAGAAACUUAUUAGAUAUUCCGUGUUAGGGAUAUUGUAGAAUGCACGCUAGCAAGUCUCGUCUUGGGAACGACAUCACGAAGUCGUAUAUAGCUAGCUUUGCACAGGAAUGUUCAGGUUACUUUUCAAAGUAAUGGCACGGUUGGAAUAGGAGAACCAUGAAGAGUCGAGUACUUUGUGGGCGUUUGCAUUUUAAAAGUCUUAGCUUAUUUGCUUCCGCUGUGCAAUGAAGAUACCAGUCCAGUCACGACAAAGCUCUGAUAUUCGGGGUGUGACAUAAAGACCUAGUAUGUCAGAAAUAGAAAGCCCUUCAAACAAGAUUUCAGGGGUUACCUAUAUAUCCGAGAGAUGUUCCCCACGAGAUAAGUAAGUUAUGAUAUUUAGGUUUAUAUCUCGAAAACAAUCUACUGAAUGUAUAAAAACCUACUGGCAUAUCCUUAGUGAGAUCGUUUAUCACAUUUAACUUUCCAAUUCUUUAGCGUGCUGUGAUAAUCCACUGAUGUACUAUCAUUUCCUCUUUUUCACAAC
rnacentral:lncRNA from 1 species